UGCGCGGGGCCCCGGUGCUUCCCUCCACGGCUGUGGUGUCCCCUGGGACCGCCCGAGCCAGGUGCCUGCGGGUGGGUGCCGCCUGGGGGGUGGCCACUGCUGCCAUGGAGGGAAGCACCAGCCCCCCCACAACCUGCGGCCCACGGACCGCUCUGCCCACCAGCAGCGCGCCCUCCCCUCCCUGCCGGAGAAGCAGACCAACACGGCUACCAAAUAUAUCCCUGAAACAUCGAAGAUGCUGAAUUUUGGCCAAUUUUGCAAUUACAUUUCAUUGCUGAACAACAAGGAAGAUUUCUACACUACCCUGCUUUUCUGCCAUCUGAUACCACCAGGGAAGGAAUCCUGCCUUAUCUGCACAUCAAUGAGCAACUCACAAAGACACCCUCAUGGACCCAGAGGAACAGACUUCUACCUUCAGCUUACUCUGUGCAAAAUGAAAUUUCUUUUCUACCUAUGGGGUUUUUUUUACCAUUUUUAGUUUUCCCUGAGUCUGAAGAAGGGUGCAUGUGCCCAAAAGCUUGCAGAAAAAGAUAAUUUUUUGUGAAUUUUUAGUUGGUCUAAUAAAAGGGAUCACUUCUGAACCAAGA